rnacentral:rRNA from 2 species
AUUCAUAAGUGACGGUACUUUAUGAGAAANCCACGGCUAACUACGUGCCAGCAGCCGCGGUAAUACGUAGGUGGCGAGCGUUAUCCGGAAUCAUUGGGCGUAAAGAGGGAGCAGGCGGCAAUAGAGGUCUGCGGUGAAAGCCUGAAGCUAAACUUCAGUAAGCCGUGGAAACCAAAUAGCUAGAGUGCAGUAGAGGAUCGUGGAAUUCCAUGUGUAGCGGUGAAAUGCGUAGAUAUAUGGAGGAACACCAGUGGCGAAGGCGACGAUCUGGGCUGCAACUGACGCUCAGUCCCGAAAGCGUGGGGAGCAAAUAGGAUUAGAUACCCUAGUAGUCCACGCCGUAAACGAUGAGUACUAAGUGUUGGGGGUCAAACCUCAGUGCUGCAGUUAACGCAAUAAGUACUCCGCCUGAGUAGUACGUUCGCAAGAAUGAAACUCAAAGGAAUUGACGGGGGCCCGCACAAGCGGUGGAGCAUGUGGUUUAAUUCGAAGCAACGCGAAGAACCUUACCAGGUCUUGACAUACCUCUAAAGGCUCUAGAGAUAGAGAGAUAGCUAUAGGGGAUACAGGUGGUGCAUGGUUGUCGUCAGCUCGUGUCGUGAGAUGUUGGGUUAAGUCCCGCAACGAGCGCAACCCUUGUCGCUAGUUACCAUCAUUAAGUUGGGGACUCUAGCGAGACUGCCUCUGCAAGGAGGAGGAAGGCGGGGAUGACGUCAAAUCAUCAUGCCCCUUAUGACCUGGGCUACACACGUGCUACAAUGGACGGAUCAAAGGGAAGCGAAGCCGCGAGGUGGAGCGAAACCCAAAAACCCGUUCUCAGUUCGGACUGCAGUCUGCAACUCGACUGCACGAAGUUGGAAUCGCUAGUAAUCGCGAAUCAGAAUGUCGCGGUGAAUACGUUCUCGGGCCUUGUACACACCGCCCGUCACACCAUGAGAGUUGGUAACACCCGAAGCCGGUGGCUUAACCGCAAGGAG